CGAGAUAGAUCUCUUCCUUUAC
rnacentral:snRNA from 1 species